UUGUACCCAUUUUAUAUAAAAGAAUGCCAGCAUUCACUGAGUUCUCACUUCCUGCAGGCUCUCAGAAUUCUAAGUACUUUGCUGUUCAUAUUCACAAAAGCCUAUCGCAGAGGUAUGGAUAUCAUUCUCAUUUUAUAAAUGAAGAAGCUAAGGUAAAGAGGAGAUAACUCAAGUUUGACUGCCCCAAGUGAUGUAUGAAGCUGUCAUCACAUCAGUCUGAAGCUACUACUGUUGCAGUGGCCAUGCCUUUAGAAUACUAUUUGCCCCAGGCUCUCUGAAUUCUCUGACGUCAAUAGAAUGUCCAACCAUCCAGUCCUGUUCUGACAGUACCAGGAGUUAGCAUCAGACUCCACAGAUUGAAGGGCACAGGUCCACAAGACUGACUUCACUGCAGGCACCAGUCUCAAGGCCCAGGUCUCCAGGCUACCUGCACUUCUCUCCAACUUGGCUACAAAUUUAGGGGUUCUCACGACCCCCACUCAGGUUAAAUAAUUUGCUAGAAAUACAGAACUCAAGGAAACACUCUAGUUAUGUUAACCAGUUUAUUAUAAAGGAUCCAACUCAUGAACAGCCAAAGGAAGAGAUGCAUAGUCAAGGAAUGGAAACGGGGUAUUUCAUGGACUUUGAUACCCUCUCUGAGUGUUCCGCCCUUCCAGCACCUUAAUGUACACAACCUGGAAGCUCUCUGAACUUUAUUGUUUAAGAGUUUUUAUGACCCAAUCUCCAGUAGAACCUCUCCUUCCUUAGAAGUUGGAGAGGAAAGAGGGCUGAGAAUUCCCACUCUGUAAUCAGGUGUUUGGCCUUUCUAGUGACUGGUCAAUAACCUGAAGCUAUUUGGGGCCUCAUCCUGAGUCACCUCAUUAGCAUUGCUUUAGGUAUCUUCCAAAGGGUCUCUUCUUGAAUAACAAAAGACACUCCUAACGCUCAGGAAAUUCCAAGGGUUUUAGGAUCUCUGUGCCAGGAUCAAGAAAUCAAGAGUAAAUACAUAUUUGUUAUU